GCAAAGGUAGCAUAAUCAUUAGUUCUUUAAUUGUGAUCUGGUAUGAAUGGCUUGACGAGACAUAAGCUGUCUUAGAGGUAUUGAUUUAUUGAAUUUGGUUUUUGAGUUAAAAUUCUUAAAUGUUUUUAUGGGACGAGAAGACCCUAUAGAGUUUAACAAUUUUCUUAUUUGUUUAUUGUUUGUUUUAGUUUUAUUAAGUAGGAAAUAUUGUUUUGUUGGGGUGAUGGGAGGAAGUAUAUUUAACUCCUCUUUGUUUUUGUAUAUUUAUUUAUGUUUCUUUUGAUCCAUUUAUUUUGAUUAUAAGAUUAAAUUACCUUAGGGAUAACAGCGUUAUCUUCCUUGAGAGUUCUUAUUGGCGGGGAGGUUUGCG
rnacentral:rRNA from 1 species